UGGGGAAUAUUGCACAAUGGGCGCAAGCCUGAUGCAGCCAUGCCGCGUGUAUGAAGAAGGCCUUCGGGUUGUAAAGUACUUUCAGCGGGGAGGAAGGGAGUAAAGUUAAUACCUUUGCUCAUUGACGUUACCCGCAGAAGAAGCACCGGCUAACUCCGUGCCAGCAGCCGCGGUAAUACGGAGGGUGCAAGCGUUAAUCGGAAUUACUGGGCGUAAAGCGCACGCAGGCGGUCUGUCAAGUCGGAUGUGAAAUCCCCGGGCUCAACCUGGGAACUGCAUCUGAUACUGGCAAGCUUGAGUCUCGUAGAGGGGGGUAGAAUUCCAGGUGUAGCGAUGAAAUGCGUAGAGAUCUGGAGGAAUACCGGUGGCGAAGGCGGCCCCCUGGACGAAGACUGACGCUCAGGUGCGAAAGCGUGGGGAGCAAACAGG
rnacentral:rRNA from 1 species